GUGGAAGGCAGUGGAAGAGCUGCUGGUUCCUGGAUCAUCUCUGGGUCUUAACCUCAUUUCUCUAAGACCACUGCUAGUGAGGGUUUUUCUCUCUUUUUCAGUGAGCUGCUGCUGUUUCAUCUGACCUACCAAAUGAUGUUCAGCCCAGAUGAGAAACAGAAGAACGUGGAGGUUUUGCAAUUUGAGCUGAGCCGUGUAGGAGCUCUUUGGCAGAAGAGGCGGCCUCCCGAGGGCUGUACACCAGGAUAGAACCUUUCACAGGAGAGAACAGCUUUUCAAACGCAAUCAGGGACUACCAGGACACACCACAACAAACACCCAAAACACAGGAAGGAGCCCGCCAGCUGCAGAAAGCCAGCCUGAGGAUCAAAAGCACAACGUCCCAGAUAACUGUUAAGCUAAUGGGGAGCAUAGGGAACUCCUGAUGUCCUGCAAAUCUUCAGCAAGGAGCAUGGAAGAAGAGGGCAGAAAAAGACAGUGAGAGGAGGUUAUUUCCUAUACACAUGAGAUAAGCUCUCAGCAUGAGUACAACCCAGAUUCCCACUUAGCUUCUCUUCAUGUAUUUACUUGGCAGAGAUGAGGCCACUUGCACCAGUGAAGCAGGUGGGGAAGAAGAUGCAUCUAUUGGUGAAGCUCAGCCCAGCUCUGUUGGCAUCAGGCACCCAUGUUUAUUACAGCUGGCAAAGAGGUCCCAGCUUCAGACAGCCGUCUGCCAUCCGCUUUGGCCAGACACCGAGACGCUAGCAAUUGUCUGCUGGUACUGUCAUGAGUAAAGUUCUAGAAAAGCUAUAAGGGAAGGCUGACAUAUUUUGUAUCUUGCACUACUCCAAUGAAAGCUGCAUCUGAGAGAAGACAGAAAUUACAG